rnacentral:sRNA from 1 species
AUCGGCCGUAAAAGCCGUACGGGCUCCC